rnacentral:rRNA from 1 species
GAGUUUGAUUCUGGCUCAGAUUGAACGCUGGCGGCAUGCUUUACACAUGCAAGUCGGACGGCAGCACGGGUGCUUGCACCUGGUGGCGAGUGGCGAACGGGUGAGUAAUGCAUUGGAACGUACCGAGUAGUGGGGGAUAACUGUCCGAAAGGAUAGCUAAUACCGCAUACGACCUACGGGUGAAAGCAGGGGACCUUAGGGCCUUGCGCUAUUUGAGCGGCCAAUGUCUGAUUAGCUAGUUGGUGGGGUAAAGGCCUGCCAAGGCGACGAUCAGUAGCGGGUCUGAGAGGAUGAUCCGCCACACUGGGACUGAGACACGGCCCAGACUCCUACGGGAGGCAGCAGUGGGGAAUUUUGGACAAUGGGCGCAAGCCUGAUCCAGCCAUGCCGCGUGUCUGAAGAAGGCCUUCGGGUUGUAAAGGACUUUUGUACGGGAAGAAAAAGUUGUGGCUAAUACCCAUGACUGAUGACGUACCUAG